UGGGGACGAAGGGCAAAGGGUUAAUAGCCCCUAGCCUGACGGUACCCUUCGAGGAAGCCCCGGCUAACUACGUGCCAGCAGCCGCGGUAAUACGUAGGGGGCGAGCGUUGUCCGGAAUUAUUGGGCGUAAAGAGCGUGUAGGCGGUCCGGUAAGUCCGCCGUGAAAACCCGGGGCUCAACCCCGGGCUUGCGGUGGAUACUGUCGGGCUAGAGGAUGGUAGAGGGGAGUGGAAUUCCCGGUGUAGCGGUGAAAUGCGCAGAUAUCGGGAGGAACACCAGUAGCGAAGGCGGCUCCCUGGGCCAUUCCUGACGCUGAGACGCGAAAGCUAGGGGAGCGAACAGGAUUAGAUACCCUGGUAGUCCUAGCCGUAAACGAUGAACACUAGGUGUGGGGGGAGUCGAAUCUCUCCGUGCCGCAGCCAACGCGAUAAGUGUUCCGCCUGGGGAGUACGGCCGCAAGGCUAAAACUCAAAGGAAUUGACGGGGGCCCGCACAAGCAGCGGAGCAUGUUCUUUAAUUCGAUGCAACGCGAAGAACCUUACCUGGGCUUGACAUGGCGCUGCAAGCGCACGGAAACGUGUGACCUUCGAGGGUGCGCCACAGAUGCUGCAUGGCUGUCG
rnacentral:rRNA from 1 species